rnacentral:rRNA from 1 species
CCUACGGGGGGCAGCAGUGGGGAAUAUUGGACAAUGGGCGAAAGCCUGAUCCAGCAAUGCCGCGUGUGUGAAGAAGGCCUGCGGGUUGUAAAGCACUUUCAGUAGAGAGGAAAAGCUUAAGGUUAAUACCCUUGAGUCUUGACGUAACCUACAGAAGAAGCACCAGCUAACUCCGUGCCAGCAGCCGCGGU